rnacentral:rRNA from 1 species
UACGUAGGGUGCAAGCGUUGUCCGGAAUCAUUGGGCGUAAGCGCGUGUAGGCGGCCCGGUAAGUCCGCUGUGAAAGUCGGGGGCUCAACCCUCGAAAGCCGGUGGAUACUGUCGGGCUCGAGUGCGGAAGAGGCGAGUGGAAUUCCUGGUGUAGCGGUGAAAUGCGCAGAUAUCAGGAGGAACACCGAUGGCGAAGGCAGGUCUCUGGGCCACUACUGACGCUGAGAAGCGAAAGCAUGGGGAGCGAACAGG